GAGAGCGACAGGGCGAUUUUGUCAGUGCGGAGGUCGUGGAUCCUCACCCUGGAAGGCCCAAGAUGAGUGCAGAGAAGGGAAAGGGGAGGAAGGACACCUGCCCUGAGCACGAGUCCACUCUGAGGAAAGGUGAGCUGGGCCUGGCAUCUGACUGCACAGCUGUCCCAGGUAAGUGUGGCGCCCAGCACCGUGGUACUGCUGGCAGUCUAAGAUUCUGUUAAGGGCAGGAGAUAAACCAGCCACACUCAUUUGCAACCCAGAUCCUUACCCGGUUGGGAAAUUAACACUUUUCUGGUAUUUAACUCAACUCCGUCAGUUCAUCAUCCUCUUGCUGAAAUUUGGAAAGGGAGGUGUCAUGGCACCUGGUGGCUCAGUGGAUUAAGCCUCUGCCUUUGGCUCAGGUCAUGAUCCCAGGGUCCUAGGAUCGAGCCCCGCCUUGGAAAGGGAGGUGUCUACGGUUGACCAUGGGGACACUGGUUGCCACUUAUCUGAAGUUUCAAAACAAUGACUUGCUUUGUCAUAAUCUGAAUUUAAGAACCUCUUUAAAAACUACUCUUUACCUAAGUAUAUGCUGAAUUUCUACAUAUGGACAAAUUAGAUAAUGAAACAAAUUUCUCAUCCAGCAGAAAUACCAACACAGUUCCGGAAAUAAGACACACAGCCAAAAUUAAAUGUGGCAAAAUUUCAGUACAGGUGAAUGUAACAGUCUCUGCGCUGUGAGUCAGAAAGGAAAAGACCCUACCACCCCGGACGGGAACUGGACAGACCUAAUGCCAGCCUGUGAAAUGUGGUCCCGACAGGCAAAAAAGACCCCAAGUCAGCUACCUAUGGAUACUUUCUAGAAGAAAGGGAUGUACCAAAAUACUGGCAGAACACACAGGCCAUGCAGAGACGAAUGAAACAGAUUUUCAAAUGUGGAACCAGACCGCCGGCUUGAGACCGAACAUACUUGCUGAGUCUCGGGUGCAGGCAGGAUAAACUCACGUAUAAUCAGGAAGCGCCCUGAAUAGAUCACAAAGUAAAGCUCAACGCAGGCAACACAGGAAGGGUGAACUUCAGGACCAGAAGCUUUACAAUGACGGAGGGGAGAGUUUAGCAAAUAUUUGGUAAAACUGCCUGGGAAAAACAAACAAAAAUCCAACUUACAUGGACCUGGUUUUUGUAGAUUUUAAGUAAUUCUGUUUCUUGCGUCAUAAUGCACUCAGGUUUAAGCUGAUUUUCUUAAGUUUCCAAAUUUGAAGACCUAAGUGAAAUAAACCACUUUCUAGAGCAAUAAGAAUCACCCAAACCGACCGCAAGGAUGGCAAAGGUAACAAUGAGCAGACCGAGAAGGCUGUCAAGGGAGCAAGAGUCCUGCAAACAUGCUAAAUGGGCCCAUCCUGGAGGGAAGAGCCCAGGGGCCAGGCACGCUGCUCCACAGCCAGCAAGGACAGAGGACAGCUGCCCAGGUCUGUCGGUGAAGCCAACAUUCUGUCCUCCCCAAAACUGACGAUGAGAGCAGAGUAUCAAAAACAAUGCUAGAUCGGUGUCAGUACUCAGACCGGAAUAAAAUACAGCAGAACCCCUUGAGGGUGUCCAUUAAUAUACUUCAAGUAACUACAACAAACCAUGGACUGCUGAAAAGAAAUGUGAUGAGAUUUACCUUCUUUCUUUCUUUCUUUAAGAUUUUAUUUAUUUAUUUGACAGAGAGAGAUCACAAGUAGGCAGAGAGG